UAUCUCUGUAGAGUCUGCAUAUCAAUAAGCGGAGGAAAAGAAACUAACAAGGAUUCCCUUAGUAACGGCGAGUGAAGCGGGAAGAGCUCAAAUUUGAAAUCUUCAAGGUUCUACCUUGACGAAUUGUAGUUUAAAGAAGUGUUUUCUGUUAGAUGAGUAGCAAAAGUUCCUUGGAAUAGGACAUCAUAGAGGGUGAGAAUCCCGUAUUUGACUAUUCAUUCUAGCUUUGUGAUACACUUUCAAAGAGUCGGAUUGUUUGGGAAUGCAGUCCAAAAUGGGUGGUAAAUUUCAUCUAAAGCUAAAUAUUGGCGAGAGAUCCGAUAGCGAACAAGUACCGUGAGGGAAAGAUGAAAAGAACUUUGAAAAGAGAGUUAAACAGUACGUGAAAUUGUCAAAAGGGAAGCGUUUGACACCAGUGUUGUUUUUCCGAAAAUCAAUUAAAAAUUGAUUCAUGCCAGGUUGUAUUGACCUUAUCAGCUUGCAAUUUGGUUUUGGGUCUCUUUUUGAUGCACUUUUCGGUUAACAAGUCAACAUCAAUUUCCUUUGCUGUAAAAAGGUAAGAGGAAGGUGGCUUCAAUUUCGGUUGAAGUGUUUAUAGCCUUUUAUCUCUGCAGUCGGGGAGAUUGAGGUCUGCAGCGUAGAUCCUUCGGGGCUAGAUACAUUUAUGCUAAGUUAAUAGCUUUUCAUAGACAACUUGUUGACUAUGUUUAGUCAUGUAGCUUACUCGUAAGUGCUAUUUUACCUACGCUUAGGAUGUUGAAGACUCUACAGAGAUA
rnacentral:rRNA from 1 species